CCUACGGGCGGCUGCAGUGAGGAAUAUUGGUCAAUGGGCGCUAGCCUGAACCAGCCAAGUAGCGUGAAGGAUGACUGCCCUAUGGGUUGUAAACUUCUUUUAUAUGGGAAUAAAGUGCAGUAUGUAUACUGCUUUGCAUGUACCUUAUGAAUAAGGAUCGGCUAACUCCGUGCCAGCAGCCGCGGUAAUACGGAGGAUCCGAGCGUUAUCCGGAUUUAUUGGGUUUAAAGGGAGCGUAGGCGGGUUGUUAAGUCAGUUGUGAAAGUUUGCGGCUCAACCGUAAAAUUGCAGUUGAUACUGGCAGCCUUGAGUACAGUAGAGGUAGGCGGAAUUCGUGGUGUAGCGGUGAAAUGCUUAGAUAUCACGAAGAACUCCGAUUGCGAAGGCAGCCUGCUGGACUGUAACUGACGCUGAUGCUCGAAAGUGUGGGUAUCAAACAGUAUUAGAUACCCUUGUAGUC
rnacentral:rRNA from 1 species